UACGUAGGGUGCAAGCGUUGUCCGGAAUUAUUGGGCGUAAAGAGCUCGUAGGCGGUUUGUCGCGUCUGCUGUGAAAACCCGAGGCUCAACCUCGGGCCUGCAGUGGGUACGGGCAGACUAGAGUGCGGUAGGGGAGAUUGGAAUUCCUGGUGUAGCGGUGGAAUGCGCAGAUAUCAGGAGGAACACCGAUGGCGAAGGCGGGUCUCUGGGCAGUAACUGACGCUGAGGAGCGAAAGCGUGGGGAGCGAACAGG
rnacentral:rRNA from 1 species